UUAGAUUAAGAUAUUACCAAGAUUGUAAGCAAACUAAAGGAAAUAAAAAAAAAGUAAUUCUCUCUAUCAUCUCUUACACUUUACACCCGGGUAUUGGAGAGGAAAAGAGAGAGACAACUGAUCAUGGCCUAAGGAAGAAAAAGAAAUUAGUUUCCAAGCUCUUAAGAAACUCCUACACAACACCAUCUUCAUCUUCUCCACCAAAACCUCCAAGAAAUCCUAGAGAGAGAAAAUAAGAAAGAGAGAUAGAAGCAAGAGGGCUUAGGCAGCCACAUAGAGGGAGAAGAAGAAGGGAAGUUUGGUGUAUUUUCAAGUUCCAUAUUCUACCUUGAAAGAAGGAGAAGAGGUGGAUCUAAGAAAUCAAGGUAUAAACAACCUACCUUUAACCUUUUGUUUUAUUAUUUUGGUUGAUUUACAAAAUAUAAAGCUAUGUUUCUUGAACUUCAAAACUUUAGAUCUACAUGUUUUAUGGUUUGAUAUGUGUAGAUCUAAACAUUUUAGGUGUUAAAAGUUUGAUCCAAAGAAAGAAAAGUAAAACAGUUUUUAAAGCUUAGAAAAGCUAGUGACUGCUGCCCCAAAACAGAAAUUUUGGGGUUAGCUAGAGUGUUCUUAAAAUUAUGGGCUUUUGGUAUGUUAUAGUACAUUGAAUAAUCUUUCCAUAUACUCCGGAACGGACUAAUUCCGACUUCGGAGCAAAGAGUUAUGCUAUUUUAAAGUAGCUGAGUCAAAACUGGAAAACAUAUGCGGUUCAGUCCCUUUGCACGAAUUUUUGGGCUGAUAUGUUUAGAAUCUGGAAAAUAUCAGCAGGGGAAGUUGUAGAGGAGGAAGUUACGAAGGCGUGGAUUCUAGAAUCACUUAAAAAUGUUGAGAAACGAAGGAGUUAUGACCAUUUUAGUGAAGGAGGAUCGUGCAGUUUAAAAACAGAACAUUCUAUCCAGUUAGAGCAGAUUUCUGUACUGUUCGGUUUGGGAUUUGGAUUUGUUAUCUGAAGAGUAGUUGUAGUCCCGGAAGUUAGCUUCGUGUGGGCUCAAGGAUCGCCUAAAAAUGUUUAAAAACGAAAAAGUUAUGACUAUUUUAGUGCAAGAGGGCAAGCUGGAAAAUAUUUGAAAACUGUUGCGAGUGAACAUUUUUGGGGCCUGGUUUAGGCUGCCUAGGAGGUCCAAAAUGGGUGGGUUAUAUUUUUUAAAAAUAGCCUACUAUGGUACCUAUAACAUAUCCAAAGUUGGGAAUUUUCCGAUAAACGAACAAGGCGUGAGAAAAUCGCGAAGUAGAUAGUUUGAUAAGCGCACACAAGGCCAACAGCAGCAGCCAGGCAGCGCUCGCGCGCGCCUGCAUAGCCGUGUUGUGCUAUUGUUUGACGUCUUUUUCGCGCACUAUUUUGAUGAAUUUCCGUGAUCCGUUUUCGCGAUGUGAAAUUUUUCUUAAAUACUAUAACAUGCCCAAAAUUUCACUGUUAUAUGACUCAUGAUUUGAGAAUUAAAAAUGAGCAAAGGAGCAUGUCAGAACUUAAAAACGAGCGAACGCCGAGCGUUGACACGUCGAUCGAUUUUGACAUUCGACAUUCCGAAUCGCGUUCCGGCAAAAUAAUAAGUCAUAAUAAAUCUAAUAAAGUCCCAUGGGGCGAGAUUUGACAAUUAAUGGUAUUUUACGUCGAGAAACUUCUUUUCAGGCAUAAAUAAAGUAAUAAAAAUAUAUAAUAAAUAUAAAUUACAUAUUUAAGUGAAAUAAAAACUACAAUUGCCUAUAAAAUUAUAUUAUGGUAUAAGAAAAUAUUUUAUGUUAUUUUUAAUGACUUUCGAUAUUUUGUAAUGAGAUUCAUUAAUAAAUUAAUAUUAAUGGNNNNNNNNNNNNNNNNNNNNNNNNNNNNNNNNNNNNNNNNNNNNNNNNNNNNNNNNNNNNNNNNNNNNNNNNNNNNNNNNNNNNNNNNNNNNNNNNNNNNGAAAUAUUAUAGUAAAUUGAGUUUUACUAUUAAAGCUAUAUGCAUUAGCUGUUUAAACUCCGAAUUUGCGAGUAAAUGUAAAAGAUAUUUUCGAAAUGAAAUUUAAAUAAUUUAAGCUUCAAGAUGUAAAAUAUUUAUAUCUUAAAAUGUGUGAGACCUUUAUUAUUUAUGAAACAAGUAAAAUAUUAUUAGAUGAUUAAUAAUAUUAGAUAAUAAAUAAAAUACUAUUAAAUGAUUAAUAAUAUUAGUAAAUGAUUUGAAUAUUAUUAAAUGAUUAAUAAUAUUAGAAUAUGAUUAAAAUAUUAUUAAAUGAUUAAUAAUAUUUGUAAACGAUUAGGAUACUACUAAGAAAUUGAAAAGUAAAUAAAAUAUUAUUAAAAGAUUAAUAAUAUUAGACGAGAAUUUAAGAUGAUGGUUAUGUGAUAAUAAUAUUAUCAAAUGACGAUAAUAUUACUAGUGAGUUGAAGAAUUAUUCAAUGUUUGAUUAUGUGGCUAAAUGUUAGCUAAUUUAUUAUUUGAGUAAUAGUGUUGUGAGAUAAAAUGUAUUAUGCUAAUUAGAGGGUCGAUCUUAUAAUUGAUAGGUCAUUCAUAAGAGAUUUAAUUAUACUGCUUAGCGGUAAUCGAUGGUCAAGGCAAGUCUCCUAACUCAAACUCGAGUUAUUAUGUUUCAAGCAUUCUAGUGGAUUAAUUAUUGACAAUUAUUCCUCAUCUUUGAUUAUUGAUUCGCACUUAGUGCAUGUUGCAUAUGUUCAUCAGGUAUGAAAGACUGAUCACCUUCAUUACCAUAAGGUUCAGUUAAAUUUAUUUAUGGUCAUUGUUGACCACUUAGCAUAAUUAUUCAGUUAUUCAAUUAUUGAAGUUUUGAUACAUGCUCUUUCAGAAUUGUAUUACAUUGUUAAAAACAUGAAAGCUUAUUCCUUUUCGAUAAUGAUAUAUCUUCAUUGUACUUAAACUUGCUGAGCAAAGUAGUUGCUCACCCUUGCAAUAUCAUGAAUAUAUUUCAGUUUAACCCGAAAGCUCAAAGAAAGACAAAGGCAAAGGAAAAGAUAGAGAUUAUUUUUAUAUGGACAUUUAUCUAUUAUGAUAACUGACGUAAAUUGAUGAUGUAAACCUUGUGAAUUAUUAAAGGUAUGUAUUAAGAUAAAGGUUGUAGACCUUGGGAAAUGUUACAGAACCAUUGUGUAAUAAACAAAUUAUGUUUAUAAUUCCACAUUAGUUUAUAGAAUAUGUAUGAAGAUGUUGUAUCGUGACACACCAGGUCCGGAGUUCAAGGGACCCAAAUUUGGGGGCGCUACAAUCAACCUACAAGUUUAAUCAUUAUGUUCUAAGUCCUUGUAUAAUAAUUUCUCAUUUAAGGACUACAAAAAAAUACUUAACAAUUAUAAAUUAAUGUAAACACAUCAUCAAAUUUAAACAUGCAUAUUCUAACUAACAUUAAAAAAACAAAAAGAAUGAACAAAUAACAACUAAUCAUUGGUGGCCCCACAUUAUAAUAAUGUUCGGAUACAGAAAAUGACCAAAUAAUAGUUAAUAAAAGUUGUCGACAGAACUGUUAUAGUUAACUGUUAAAAUGUCGACAAUAAAGGAACAGUAUUGCACAUUGUCACAACAGUAUUCGACAUUAUUAAACUAAUAAUUAUCACUGUAGCAAAGGUAAUAAUGGAAAGCUACGUAUUUAAAGGUCACAUGAACUGAAAAGUUAGACAAACUCAUUAAUACGUUAGGUAAAUAACAUUAUAUACAUAAAUAUCUAUGAUAUUAAUACAUUAAGCAAAUAAUAUAAAAGAUGAAAAAUAUAAUAAUAAUUAUGAAUAGUAAAGAAAAGGUAAUCUUGAAAUCUAAAAGUUGUGUCGAAAUUAUAUGUGGUAGAUUGAAGGUAAUCUUGAAAUGUGAAAGUUGUGCCAAAAUUUAUGUGGGGUAGAUUAAAGGUAAUCUUGAAAUGUUAAAAUUGUUGUAAAAUAAUGUGUUGUAGAUUAAAGAUAAUCUUGAAAUGCAAAAAGUGUGCUAAACUUAAUGUGUGAUAGAUGUUGAUUUAGCUUUGGCUAUAAAGGGGGGAGGGGUUUGACAUAAGGAGUUGGGAUAACCUUUUUACUUGUUCUUCCCUACUUUCUAAAUAUUUCUUAAUGUGAGUGUUUUUUUGAGUGUGCUAAGAAUACUUUGAAAGUAGUAUACCCUUAAACUAAUUACAUUGGAUGUGAUAAACAUUUACUUUAUAAUCUUAUUCAUUUAUUAAGAAAAGAAUUAAUUUAAUUAAAGACAUUCUUUAUCUAUAUUUAAUUGG
rnacentral:lncRNA from 1 species